UUCCUGUUGCUUUAGGGGAACGUGGCUUUUCCCCCCGCAGUGUCUGUCUUCCCUUCCGCUUCGCCACCGCCGCCGCCGCCGCCGCCGCCGGAGCCGGAGCCCGAGCGCAGUCCCGCCAUGGACUCGGCCCUCAGCGACCCGCACAACGGCAGCGCCGAGGCCAGCGGCGCCGCCAACGGCACGGCGCGGCCGCCGUCCACGCCCGAGGGCAUCGCGCUGGCCUACGGCAGCCUCCUGCUCAUGGCGCUGCUGCCCAUCUUCUUCGGCGCCCUGCGCUCGGUGCGCUGCGCCCGCGGCAAGAACGCUUCGGACAUGCCCGAGACCAUCACCAGCCGGGACGCCGCCCGCUUCCCCAUCAUCGCCAGCUGCACGCUCUUGGGGCUCUACCUCUUUUUCAAAAUCUUCUCCCAGGAGUACAUCAACCUCUUGCUGUCCAUGUACUUCUUCGUGCUGGGGAUCCUGGCCCUGUCCCACACCAUCAGCCCCUUCAUGAAUAAGUUUUUCCCAGCCAACUUCCCAAACCGACAGUACCAGCUGCUCUUCACACAGGGCUCCGGGGAGAACAAAGAAGAGAUCAUCAAUUAUGAGUUCGACACCAAGGACCUGGUGUGCCUGGCCCUGAGCAGCGUCGUGGGCGUCUGGUACCUGCUGAGGAAGCACUGGAUCGCCAACAACCUCUUCGGCCUGGCCUUCUCCCUCAACGGGGUAGAGCUCCUGCACCUCAACAAUGUCAGCACAGGCUGCAUCCUGCUGGGCGGGCUCUUCGUCUACGACGUGUUCUGGGUGUUUGGCACCAACGUGAUGGUGACCGUCGCCAAGUCCUUUGAGGCACCGAUAAAAUUGGUGUUUCCCCAGGACCUGCUGGAAAAGGGCCUGGACGCCGACAAUUUCGCCAUGCUGGGACUUGGAGACAUCGUCAUUCCAGGAAUUUUCAUCGCCUUGCUGCUGCGUUUUGACAUCAGCCUGAAGAAGAACACCCACACCUACUUCUACACCAGCUUUGCCGCCUACAUCUUUGGCCUGGGCCUCACCAUCUUCAUCAUGCACAUCUUCAAGCAUGCCCAGCCAGCUCUGCUCUACCUGGUCCCCGCCUGCAUCGGCUUUCCCGUCCUGGUGGCACUGGCCAAGGGGGAAGUGACAGAGAUGUUCAGCUACGAGUCCUCGGCGGAAAUCCUGCCUCACACCCCGAGGCUCACCCACUUCCCCACGGUCUCGGGCUCCCCUGCCAGCCUGGCCGACUCCAUGCAGCAGAAGCUGGCCGGCCCGCACCGCCGGCGCCCGCACAGCCCCAGCGCCAUGUAGUGCCCAGCGGGUGUCCGCCUGCCCACUUCCCCCCACUGCCCCGAGGCCCAAGCUACGAGGAGUCCAAUCCUAAGGAUACAGCAGCAGUGACAGAAUCCAAGGAGGGCACCGAGGCGUCGGGGUCGCAGGGGCUGGAGAAGAAGGAGAAGUGACACGGCAGCGCCCAGACCUGCAGCCAGAGCGGCCAGCGGGACCUCGCACGCACGUGCAGCCUGCCGGCACGGGAGCCAGCUGACCGACAGACCCACCAACUGACCAACCAACCAACGACCGACCGACUGACUGUGGGGCUGGCCCGCCCCUGCCUCUCUCCACCCCCCACAGGCAAAGGAAGCCCCCUACGGUCCCCAUCCCCCAGGUGCCAGGUGGGGAAAGUGGGUGUGCUUUGUAGGGUUUUGUAUUGCGAACUGACUUUGCCUCCCAUUAAAAAAACUCAUUCCAUUGCCCCCACGGGCCGCUGUACUGGCCGAACUCGCCGCCCCCGCAUCUUGUGUUGGAUUUACUGGGUCUUCCCUUCCGCAAAAAACCUUCUCAGUGUGCUCAGUCCUGGGCACUCUGGACUCACUGUCUGGGGUGAGGCCAUGACCUCUGCUCCCUUCUGUGCCCCGAGGUCUUGGCCCUGCAUGGACCAGUCAGUCAGCUGAGCACCCCAAGGACACUCUCUGGCCAGCAGAACGGGCUCUGGGCCCUUCACCCCAGCACCAGCCACUCCCACCAGCGGGGCAAACGAGUGUGGUGGACCCGUGCCAGGCGCAGCGGCCCUGGCCCCACGGGACAGGCAUCCGGAAAGCCAGAGGCAGACAGAGCCUUGCAGCCCCCGAGAAGUUUCAAUUAAUUCCCGGGCCGGCGGGAGCAGCUUCUGUGGUCUCAGUGGCUUCAGCAGGAGCAUGCUGGACUCGAGACUGCCUGGACACCAAAGCCCAUCACUUCUGUUCUGCGUUUUGCCAGGGACCUUCCAAAGUGACUCCUGCACGGUCCAGAGGAGCCUGAUGUAGGCGUGUCCCCAUCCCCACAGGGAGGCCGGGCCACGAGCCCCAGAAAGGCCUGAGGGUCUGGGGAAGGCAGCAUCAGGCUUUCUCCAGGACGGACAGCAGCCCUGGCCAGCGGGAGAACCCCCAGAGGACCAGGCAAGGAGAGGACGGGCACGGCCCUUCCCCACCUGCCUGGCACAGGAUCAUGGGGUUGAGAAACAGGUGAGAGGGCACGGCCUCAGGUUCAAGUCUCCAAACCCCAGCCCGCCCCUUCCCAAGACCCAGGCUGGAGGCCGAAAGCUCCCCAGAGUUUGGAUUGGCUAAAGGACAAGUAAGCUCAGAGAAUCAAGUGUCACUGUCAUCUCUCUAGGCAUGGAGUCCAGGCCCGCCGCCUCAGACCAUAGGUGCUAUUCUCAGUCCGGGUGUGCGGACGUGAGCAGAGGGGAGCCUGCUGGCCACCGCAGACCAGGGCGGCGCAGCCCCUCUCCAGACCCCGGGGCUGCGGCUGCUGGCCCGUGCGCACAGGAACCCUUCGCUGGGCCUUCCUGGGAUGCUACGAGGCAAGGAAGAGGGGGCCGCUGCACCUCGGGGCUCUCGGCCUCACCGGCUCCACCGCCUCCAGAGGGGAGGCCAUGUGGUCCUCGAACAAGGCCCCUCUGAGGGCGGCAGAUGGGGCAGACAGCCCAGGCACACAGCGCGGUUGGCUCCUCGGCCCGGGGCCUACAAAGACCUCAUUGAGUCACCGCCGGCCCCCAGCGGAGCCUGAGGUGGCAGUGGCGCCGGGCGCCUGCCACCUAAUGACCAUCCUGGCGGGGCCAGAUGUUCCACAGACCUCGGCAACGGCCGUCCAGGGCCCGCCCGGCCAGCCAGCACCACAGCGGCCACUCUAAUUCCAAUUAACCAGCUUCAGCUGAGCAAACAGCGGGCAGCCGUGGCCCGCCCGGGCGGUAGGCCCGGCCCGCAGAGCCUCCGAGUCUAGACUCCAGAUGUGAACCGCCACCACCAGAGUCCCAUGGAAAAAUGGCACCAGGCCGGGCACUGAUCGGGCUUGCGCACUGGGGAGGCGGGAGUGGGCGGCUGGGCAGGGCUCUGGGUGGGCCUGGCGCCAGUCUCACCCGGGAGAGUGGGGGUGGAUUCCUGGGCAGCAGCCGCCAAGCCCCCGUGUUCUGCCCCUGAUCUGUUUGGGGUUCCUCCAGGCCUCUGCAGGCUCCGGGGUUAUAGUAGGUGGGAGGGAGCCCCUGGGGGCAAGACCAAUCUGGGCAGAGAGCCCCAAAACAUACUUAUUUCAUUUGUAUUUAACAUAUGUCUAGCAUUAUGCUAUGUAUUUCAGAAACAUUUAAUAGUUGUAACAGCCCUGUGAGGCAGAAAACCUC